UGGGGAAUAUUGGACAAUGGGGGCAACCCUGAUCCAGCAAUGCCGCGUGUGUGAAGAAGGCCUUCGGGUUGUAAAGCACUUUAGGUUGGGAGGAAGGUGUGUAGUUUAAGAGAUGACACACUUGACUGUACCGACAGAAUAAGCACCGGCUAACUCUGUGCCAGCAGCCGCGGUAAUACAGAGGGUGCGAGCGUUAAUCGGAGUUACUGGGCGUAAAGGGCGCGUAGGCGGUUUAAUAAGAUUGAUGUGAAAUCCCUGGGCUUAACCUAGGAACUGCAUCGAUGACUGUUAAGCUGGAGUAUUGCAGAGGGUAGUAGAAUUUCCGGUGUAGCGGUGAAAUGCGUAGAGAUCGGAAGGAAUACCAGUGGCGAAGGCGGCUACCUGGGCAAAUACUGACGCUGAGGCGCGAGAGCGUGGGGAGCAAACAGGAUUAGAUACCCCCGUAGUCC
rnacentral:rRNA from 1 species